rnacentral:rRNA from 1 species
UCGGGAAUUUUGGGCAAUGGGCGAAAGCCUGACCCAGCAACGCCGCGUGAAGGAUGAAGUAUUUCGGUAUGUAAACUUCGAAAGAAUAGGAAGAAUAAAUGACGGUACUAUUUAUAAGGUCCGGCUAACUACGUGCCAGCAGCCGCGGUAAUACGUAGGGACCAAGCGUUGUUCGGAUUUACUGGGCGUAAAGGGCGCGUAGGCGGCAAUUCAAGUCAUCUGUGAAAUCUCCGGGCUUAACUCGGAACGGUCAGAUGAUACUGCUUUGCUAGAGUGCAGAAGGGGCAAUCGGAAUUCUUGGUGUAGCGGUGAAAUGCGUAGAUAUCAAGAGGAACACCUGAGGUGAAGACGGGUUGCUGGGCUGACACUGACGCUGAGGCGCGAAAGCCAGGGGAGCAAACGGGAUUAGAUACCCACGUAUUCCCUGAGCGGGCUGGCAAGGCGCAU